rnacentral:lncRNA from 1 species
CGCACUGGGUCCUUGGGGCUCCGAAGGUUUCUGCCUGCUGCUUGGUGGAUCUUGGAGCAUUGGGCCCAGGUGCGUCUUCAGGCCUGUGAGCCUGUGGCUACAGAGCUCUUGGCUACAGGGACCUGAGUCUUCUUGGACCCACAGCUUCAGGCCCCACGGUGGGCAGACAGCGGUUUCUCAGGUCCCGUGGUGGGCAGACAGCAGUUUCCCAGGGCCCACGGCGGGCAGAUGGCAG